AUACCGGCAGCUCGAGUGAUGGCCGCUAUUAUUGGGCCUAAAGCGUCCGUAGCCGGCCGAACGGGUCCGUUGGGAAAUCCAUCUGCCUAACAGAUGGGCGUCCAGCGGAAACCAGUCGGCUUGGGGCCGGAAGACCUGAGGGGUACGUCCGGGGUAGGAGUGAAAUCCUGUAAUCCUGGACGGACCGCCGGUGGCGAAAGCGCCUCAGGAGGACGGACCCGACGGUGAGGGACGAAAGCUUGGGUCACGAACCGGAUUAGAUACCCGGGUAGUCCAAGCUGUAAACGAUGAUCGCUAGGUGUGGCGCUGGCUACGAGCCAGCGCUGUGCCGUAGGGAAGCCGUGAAGCGAUCCGCCUGGGAAGUACGUCCGCAAGGAUGAA
rnacentral:rRNA from 2 species